UACAGAGGUGGCAAGCGUUGUUCGGAAUUACUGGGCGUAAAGGGCGCGUAGGCGGUUCGUUAAGUCCUGUGUGAAAUCCCCCGGCUCAACUGGGGAACUGCACAGGAAACUAGCGGGCUUGAGUUCGGGAGAGGGAAGCGGAAUUCCGGGUGUAGCGGUGAAAUGCGUAGAUAUCCGGAGGAACACCGGUGGCGAAGGCGGCUUCCUGGACCGA
rnacentral:rRNA from 1 species